rnacentral:rRNA from 1 species
GGUGGUAAAUUGUCAGCAAGCUGCCAAGGCUGAUUUUGGCGAACCAUUGCAUUAAGAAUAACUAAGAUUUUCCGCACACAAGCAGUCAGAGCCAGUUUUUUUGAUUUACCUCGUCCGACUAG